rnacentral:tRNA from 1 species
GGAGGGUACAGCUCAGUGGUAGAGCGCAUGCUUAGCAUGCACGAGGUCCUGGGUUUGAUUCCCAGCACCUCCA